CUGUCAGAGCCCACCAUUCCUGCCACCUGUGACCUUUCUCUGAUCCUCUGCUCUCCUCUGCAGGUGGUCUGUCUGGUUUUAGGGUUCCCUGAAGUCGCUGGUCCAGCAAGGAUUGCAACUGACGAGCUAUUCAGCCUUCCCUCACCGAUUCGAAGCAUUGAAAGGUCCUCGCCUGCUGAUGUUUCAGUUUCCUUGUUCCUAGCAAGAGCUUCGGAAUCAACAGAAGGGAACAAAGGCACCCGAAAAGCCCAGAUGGGUCACGACAACCAGUGAUUUUGAGCUCAGUUGUAUCGAUAUUUAUUUGCGACCUACUGAUUCAACCAAAAGAGGAGCUGGAGUGUCUGAGAUAUGCUCAGCUGGCAAUCUUCCACCAAUCAGUGUCUUAAGCCCAGACCUGGAAAUGGAGCAGUGGAUUUUAUGGGAAACAAACACCAAUGAUAAGGUUUGAUAUAUCUGUUAUUUGAUGAAACAAUAAGGAAAUUCAGAUGCAAGAUAC
rnacentral:lncRNA from 1 species